UCUGCUUGUUUGUUAUGUAAAUAUAAUAUUACAGAUGCAAAGUCAACAUAAUUUUGAGUCAUAUAUAUUAUUCAUUUAUCAUGUUGACCGUGUUCCUGUAGAAUGCUUCUGUCUAGCUGUUCAUCAGGCUGUAAAUGUGGGAGCUCCUGUCUCAACAAACCAUUUCAGAACCGUCCUGUGAAAAAAAUGAAAUUGGUCAAGGUAUAAAUUUCUGGCUUAGGAUUUUUUCCAAGUUUGUUUCAAUAUAGUUCUCUUAACUCGUCAAGUUAUUCUUGUGUUGUCUUUUCAUUGCAAAAUCAUGAUUCUGUUUAGAGGUCUUUGAACCUUGUCAAGGUAAUGUUUGCAUGUGCAUGUAUUGGGCAUAUGGUUAUCUAGUUUAGCUACUCUUUUUGUUUUUCAUUUUAAUUUGUGUUCAUAUUGCAGUGUGUAUCCUUACUUACAGGUGGUAUUUUUUUGUUUUUUUUUGUCUUGAAAGUUCUUUCUUUAGUCUUUAUUCUAUUCAUUUUUGCUAAGCAAACUAAUAAAAUCUUUACAGUCAUAAAAGUAAAUUUGAGAUUUUGGAAACUAAUAAUUAUAUCCCUUUCUUAAUUGAAUGUCCUCAUUUUUUCCCCAUUAUCUCCACCGCUUUUCUAUCAUCCCAAUACCUUAUUUUUGUGCACAUAGAUACACGUGUCUCAUGUUAUAUUCUAGCUUUAUUUGAAUUUGUAAUCAUUUGCAUUUCUCUUCUGAUAUUCUUUGCUUAAAAUGUCGAGAGCUUUAAUAUAUUUCUGUAGACCGAGAAAUGUGGUUCUGGAAUUGUGGCGGAUGAAGAUAUCAAGCUUGGGGAGUUUGUCAUUGAAUAUGUUGGAGAAGGUUAUAGUGAAUUGUUUCCUAAGGGUUUUUAUUUAUUUAUUAUGAUUUUAAAUGCUGCUUAUGACUUAAGAGUGUUGCCUUUCUCUACAGUCAUUGAUGACAAAACAUGCGAGGAAAGGCUUUGGAACAUGAAACAUAGUGGGGAAACAAACUUCUACUUAUGUGAAAUCAAUCGAGAUAUGGUGAUAGAUGCAACAUACAAGGGAAACAAAUCAAGAUACAUCAAUCAUAGUUGCUGCCCCAAUACUGAGAUGCAGAAAUGGUUGACUACUAAUUGUUUUAUUUGUAUGAUGAUUGUAGCAAUAUUUGGUAUUUUAUCCAACAUCCUUUAAUAGAGUUAGGAACUUCUUCUAACAAGUGCAUUUUUUUUCCAUUUUAAGGAUAAUUGAUGGUGAAACAAGAAUUGGCAUAUUUGCAACUCGUGACAUACAAAAGGGCGAGCAUCUGACUUAUGAUUACCAGUAUGAGCACUUUCCUGUUUCUUUGCUUGCACCCUUUUAGUUUAACCAUAUUUUCUAUAUAGAUAUUUAUGCCUCUGGAAAGUUUUGGUGUUGUUGGUCUCUGGAAUUAUGCUAGCAUGACUGGCCUGGUUAUUUUAUGUUUCUAACUACGUAGCAGGUUUGUUCAAUUUGGUGCAGAUCAAGAUUGCCACUGUGGUGCUGCUGAGUGUAGGCGUAAGUUGGGUGUCCGACCUACCAAGUCUAAACUUUCUUCAGAUGCUGCAUUAAAAUUAGUUGCAUAUCAGGUGGCUUCAUCUUCUCGUAAAAAUUCUCGUAAAAAAUAGCCAUAUUCUAUCUGAGUAGAUAUACUCUCUCUAAUCCCCAUGACUCUUGAAUAAUAACAAAAGUACUAAAUAAAUUGAAUUUUCAGCAUCUUUCUAUUAUUGGUUGGUUAUAAAGAAAUAUAUUCCAUUUGUUUAUUUUUAUGGUUGUGUACCUAUUGUUUAUUUUUGAGUAUUAAUUUGUGUUACGCACAUCUAUCAAUUCUCUCUGUUUAUUAUAUUGGAAAUUUAUUAGUAGGCGCUAUAUUCCAUUUCAUUACAUUAAAAAAAUCUUAAAAGAAAAAAACUCCAGUAUUUUUGUAAAAAAAAUGGGAGUGGAAAUAAUGCUGAGUUUUGACCACUACACAAUUGUUAGGACAUGGUUUUAUAUGCUUUGGUAGGAUAAAUAGAUUGUUCUUACACCAGCCUCAGCCUGUUUCAUUUUUUCCCAUCUUUUUACUCUAAAUUUUCAAUGGAAUGUUUUUCACGUACAAAUUCUGAAUGUAUUUAGCCAUUAUGUUUAGUAACUACUUACCUUAUUGCUUCUCUAUCGAUUCCUUUAAUAUUGGCAUGUAGACUUUGAUGUAACCAGUAUCCAACUUAAAUAUUUUGUUAUCAAUUUGCAUUCAGUUUCUCUUUAUAAAUUCUGCCUGCUUGAUUGCUAGAAUGAUUCCCAAUUUCCCAUUGAGAAUGAGAAUGGGAAAGCAAUGGAAUGAUCAUCUGCUUGUCAUAUUUUUGUAUGGUUAAUAAAUGAUUGAUAAUUUGAUUAUAUUCCUAUGUUUGGUAUGCCAGAGUGAAAGACUAAUGGAACAGGAAAAAAAUAAAGUUAAUUCUUUUUCAAAAAACACGUUAAAAAAUCGUUAAACUCCAUAUAUUUUAAUUGAAUUACAGUGAAUAAGAUGACGCCAUAAACAUUAAAUGUAGUUGACAGUGAGUUGGAUGCACAAAAAAUAUGAAAAUCUCGAUAAAAGCAGACCUAAUUUAGGAACAACUAAAAUCCAAAUGGUUGACAUGCUCACAUCUCAUUUAAUGGGUAACCUCUUAUUGACUAGAGAAAGAGCAAGGUGGAGUUUUGAAAAUUAUUUCUGAAUUGAUUAAUAGAACAGCUAAACAUAUACAUAGGCUGAUUCUAGAGCUAACCUAGGAUUUUACAGGGAAACAAAUAUGUCCUAAUUACAAGGGAAAUAAAUCUGUACAGAAUAAAAGGAACAAUAGGGAAAAUUUUGAGUUAAUCAUGCUAAUUAUAAUAUCCUCUCUCAAGUUGGGGAAUGAAUAUCUAUCAUUCAUUCCUAGUUUGCCAAAACCACUGUGUAGGAAAUCCCCAAGACCAUUAUCCAGCUCCUCCUUGAUAAAGUGCCAGUUUAUCUCCAUGUUCUAUUUGUAUAACGUUGAACCGGGUUGUGUGAAAUACUGACUUGUCACAUAACGGCUUCAUAUUUUAUUGAGGUCAUCAAGUAUGAUCUUCAUCAAUAGCUCACAAAUCCCUUGUACCAAAGCCUGAAAUUCUGUACCACUCUUGACCUCACAACAUUUUGGUUUUUUACUGCCUAAAAGCUAUCCUGAGGUGAAUCUCCUCUCAAUAAGUGGUUCUGUAUAAUUUGCAUUUGUGCAUACCUCCAUGCCCCUAUUUCUUGAACAGUUGGCCUCUUCCUAUACUGGUCUUCUAUUUAUUAGCCACACGAGUUAUUCCUAAAUUGGAAAUUUUUAUUUUACUAAGAUUCCUUUUUUAUUUUUAUUUUAUGGUAAUCUAAUAUACUUGAGUUAAAUUCUUGUGUUUUAUAUCCUAGAUAGUGGCACCUACUUCAAAAGUGCUAUAGCGAAUAGUGGACAACGGGAUUUGUGUUAAAAGGGUCAUCCGUCAUAUUAUUCACGCACCGAGUCCAAAAGUGUUGGACAUAAGGGGGUGUAUUGGGAAAACCCAAGUCCCACAUCGGCUAGAGAUAAGGCUAAUAUAGAAUAUAUAAGUGGGGGACAACCCUCACCCUUUGAGCUAGCUUUUGUGGUUGAGUUAGGCUCAAACUCACAUUCUAAGAUGUAUAUACAUAUAAAUUCAAGGUUGCCACACUUGAUGAGAGUUUAUGUAAACUCGUAGAGCUUCCCUAAACUCAACUCGUAGAGUUGACUUGUAAAUCAUUUGAGUUUAAAUAAUAUUAAUGAAAUUAAUUUCUUCAAAGCAUUUGAGUCAUUGUAAAACACUGUCAUUGUGGGGUCUAGGGAGCAAGAACUAUAGUUGAUUUCAAACUCAUUGACUCGCUACUUGACUCUAGGUUAUCCGAGUUUUUACUAGAGUUUACCCAAAAUAGAGUUUAACACUCGGUUUGUCUAUGUUGACUCAUAAAAUCGUAAAAAUUUAAGAGUUAACUCGAGUUUGACAACCAUUUAUAAAUUCUCAAAAAUGAUAAAAGUUACUCAAAAUUCACAAUGUUCAUAAUUUACAAUAAAAUGUCGUUUGAUGUCAAAAAAUUAAAAAGCCACACGUCUUAAACAAAAAAAUAAAUAUGAUGCAACUAUCCUAGAUAGGAAUCAUCAAUCACCAUCUUCUAAAUCCAAGUCUUUGUCAUUUUCACAACUACUUUCUCUCUCUAUAACAACCUUCCCCUUAACUUCUAAUUUCUGCCCUUAGGCAUGUUGGGCUUAAGAGUUUUGGGCCUCCGGGUGUAGACCUGGAAUGGCCUCCCUAUUGUUGAUUGCCAGAUCCUAUCAAAAUCCCAAAAACAGCCUCAUAAAGAAGAGGGCUUUUUUGGUAAUCAACAUGUAGCGCUGCUAUCUGGCCUGUUUUCAGCCCUCUAUUUGAUUGGUUACGACUGCUCCACUAAAUUGCUUCGCUACAGCGACCUCUUUGGCGUGCUCUGCGAUUGUGCACUAUUUGAAAUGUUGGAGAUCAUUUCUCUGUUUGGUUGGCAUUUAGUAAUUUUAUAAAAAAUAUUUUAUUAAAAAUUGAAAAAAUAAAAGUGGAAAAAGAAAUGUGGCAAAAUAGAUUGGGGAUAGGUAGUUGUUGUAGAAAGUAACUUCCAUUGCCCACCUUUCACCAUGGGAAAGUACGACAAUUAUGAACAUUAUGAUAUUCUGGGAAUCGACAAUUCUUUGGAAUGCUUUUUCAAAACUUGUACUAAACAUACAAAUGAGAUAUUCCCAAGUUUACUUUCCUUGGAAUCCUUCUUGAUACCUUGAAACAAAUACAACCCUAAAAGCUUAUGCUGUUAAAGGUUGAUGGAUGUUUUAAUAAGUGUCAAGAAACACAUCCCUUCUUGCAUGAUCCUAUUGGACUUGUAAUAUGAAUAAUGCACUUGCUUCUUUACCUUGGGCUAAAAUUCAAAAUUAUGAAGAAUUGGAGCACCAAUGAUCGAACUUAAGCUUUUAGGGAGAUGAUCUUUCCAAAUGUCCAAGCCUAUAUAAAUGGUCAAGUUACUGGAUGAAGGACCAUGAAUGAUUUUAUAUCUCUAACAAACAAACAAAUAGAGAAAAAUUAACAUUGAAUAGAGAAUCAGAGGGGAGAAACUGAAUUCAUUCACCAAAACAGAAUCAUACCGGAGAGGUCUCCAUUCAUAGGAGGGUACAGAUCAGUGACAGUUGAAUUCAGUUACAACAGCUGUGCUGACUCAGUAUACGUGUCUAGCACCUAAUGUGAACACUGGCUACAUAUCUGCACAAGCUAACAUACUAACCACUUAGAUGCCUGGUUAGGUUCAAUACUGCUAUACUUAACAGGAGAGCUCUACUUUAGAACAUUGUGGAAGUAUAGUUGAUUUGAGAUUUUGGGUUUGUGAUGUUAGGGUAUUUUUUUGUUUGAAAAGAGUAAAAGGUAAAAAAUAUAAUUAGAAUGAUUCCCAAGAGAAUAGUAUUUUAGACAUGCUCUCCUUUAUGGAGGGAAUGGUCAUUCUUCAUUUGAUGGAAUGCACAUUCUCAUUUUAAAGGUGCUACCAAUCAUUCUAUCCUGUCAUUUUUUUAGUUCAUUUUUAUUACAUACAAUUAAUCUCCAAGUAAUUUGCAUAAUCACUUUUCUUGAAAUUGGUAUGUACUACAUACAUACUAAGUUAUGAAGAUCUGUCUUGUUGACUAAUUGUGUACUUUUGUCUGGACAGGUUUAUCAGAAUGGAGGUUUGCAAAUUGGUAAGCUUGCUGCUUUAUUUUACUAGUUAUAUACUAUUUAAUUUUUCUUCUGAAAGAAAAUAUGCAUAAAAUCUGUGAUCUGUUCCUCUUUGAAUUUAUCUUCUAUAUUAUAAAAUGUCCCUUUUUCUUGUGUACAUGGUUUUUCAGGAAGUUCUCGUGUUGUUGACCAACCAAAGUGCUUGCACAAUUGCAUUGGUGAAGUUAUUAGGAUAAAACAUCUUGAAAAUGAGAGGUAUGCUAAAAUUGUCUAUUUUUGAAUUGUGAUGCCCUGUCAUAUGAAGUUUAUGACUAAAUUAUAACCUUGAUUAUUUUCAUUCUUAAAAUCCUAUAUAGGUUUGGAAUUAUUAAACGAUUUGAUAAGUAUUCCCGAAAACAUUCGGUAAGAGAUUCUUUGGUUGGAUUUUCAUGAUUUAGAUGAAAAUUUGUCAUCAAUUAUGAACAUGCAUUUAUUUUUGCUUUUGCAGAUCAUGUUUGAGGAUGGUUGUGUUGAAAUUUAUGACAUGUCAAAAGAGGACUUUGAACUUGUGAGAUAGUGUUGCAACUGUUGGGUAGGAACUACUUGUAAAUAUUUCUUUUGCAUGAUUGUAUCUAUCUGCAUGACAUUGUGAAAUAUGAUAUCCUAAUAGGCAAUAGGCAUCUCCAAAUUGGUACACUUUUCCAUUUUUAUUCCCAUACAAUUAGUCCCCAAGUAAUUUGCAUAAUCACUUUUAUUGAAAUUGGUAUGUACUACAUAUAUACUAAGCUAUCUGAUACUGAAUGCAAGACUGACUAGAAGCAGUAUGUAUUGUAGAUGCCGAUGCUUAAGCUGAUAGAAUGAAGAUUGUAUUUUUGUUACCUUGGUGUUGAUUAUUUUGCACGUCUUCAUUGGGUGUGAGAAAUAGGGUUAUCAUUUCUUCCAGUGUGAUUUCCAUUUUUUAAUAGGGAAAGGCUUGUAAAGGGGUUUUUAACUUAAUUUUGGUCAUGGUUGAAUGCAUGUUAUUUAGUUCAGAAUAUAUUGAUUAUUUGAUUGUAAAAGGCUUUUUUGUUGUCCCUCUUAAUUACAUCAUGGUCCAGGUUUUUUAAACAUCCUUCAUUGUCAUUUUCCCAUAUAAUUUUUCAUACUUGUGGAAACUAACUUGUUUCAUUCCUCUUCUGUUACAUUAUGCUACUAAGCAUACCCUUAUUUGCUAACUUUUUUAUUAGUAUGUAUUUGUCAAGUUAGAAAAUGAGGGAAGUAAGAUUGCUAAUACUUGUGUUGUUCAGGUGCAGGUGAAAGGAAUUGAAAAGCUGAAAAUUGGACUCAUUAUUCUUUCAUUGCAUGUGCAUAAUUCUUGUAGUUGCUGAGGCUCUUAUCAACAGAAUAUGAAGCGGAAUAGCUCAACACAACUCUUACUGAUUGAAGAUAAUAAAUUCCUUUUUCUACUAACAAACUGUAUUAUCGUGUAAACAACAUUGUUGUUCAAGGUUCUGGAAAUAAACCUUGUAUUUUUUAAAAUCCUGAAAGUACUGUAAAAUGAGAAUCAUCUUGUACCAUUAGCUAGGAUGUGUAGUUGUUGUUUCAAGUGUAUUCUUUUACUUUCUUCCUAUUUUUCUAGUAUAAGGUUAUUGAUAAAUGUGGGAGUUUCGAUUAGGAAAAACUUGUUUUAAUAUGCAAUUACCCUUUGAUCAAUGCUAAAGACAUGUACCCUAUGAAGUGGGUCACAUUAAUCUUGCUUUUCUUAUUAUUGUAAGAGCCAUUUUGAUUAAAGAAUGAAAAACUAGACAUGACGCGGGGAAGGAUAUGUAGUUUUCCAUCCUUGUGGGUAUGGAUUUUUUCAUGUUCCAGUUGAGGAUUGGUUAUACCCAUCUCAUACCUAUCCCUGCCCAAUAAAUUAAAAAAAUUUACAAAAGAAAAACAAAUAAUUUUAUAAUUUUUUUAAAACAAAGUUGAAUAUAUUAUUUAUUCAACGAGUCAAGACAAUCAAUUUGCCAUCACCCAAUAUAAAAUCUUAUUACAAUAAAAAAAUUUCCUAUGAAAAUUAUAUUUCUAUUGCCUAAUAAUUAUCCUGAAAUGAGACUUGAGAAAGAGAUCAUAAUCUCUUAUGACUUAUGAUUAGUAGGUAUAAAAGUUUAAUAAAAUUAAUUAUGAAAUAUACAUUAUAUAAAUCAAAGGUAAUUUAAUAAUUAUAUUAUUGGGUAUAGGUAUGAGACUGGUAGGUACAUAUCCAUACCCAUACUUAUUCUAGUCCAUGUUAAAAAAAAUUGAAUAUCAUCUAUAUUCAUAUUUGUAUGUAAUCAAAAUAAAGAUUUUCUUUCAAGGCCAGGGCAGGUCCGGAUUGGUACCUGCAAAUACAAGUUUGUUUGCCAUGUUUGUGGAAAACCGAGUGAGUGGUUUUGUUGCGUUAAUUUCUAUUAUUUGAAUGUUACAUGACCAAGGCAAAAGAAAGAGCACCUUUCUGAAGUAUGUGGCACUCAGAAAUUGUUAACAUACAUCGUGGCUAGAGAUAAUUAUUGUGGACACUUUAUAUAUGUAUGCAUGUAUAUGUUUGGAUACAUUGGGCUCAGUAUGACUGAAGUAUAAGUUGGUAUCUCAUGGAGUUUUUAUUGUGGAAAAUUUUGGAACUAAAUUAUGUCUUUUGCUUUUUAUUAUAAAAUAAUUAUAUUUUUAUAUAAUUUAUCCUCUCAGACUAAAUUUGUACUUGGGCAACCUUUGAAACUAUGAUCUAUUGCUGCUACUCAAUUUUGGGGCAACAGAUAUAUUGUUGGAUUUGGAUGGGGACACUAAUGUGAACGAUUAUUAUUUUUUUAUAAAAUAAAAAUCAUUUUUUUUCUAGUAAGAUAAAUAAAGGGGAAAAUUAGAAUUUUAUUAUUAUUAUUAUUAUUAUUAUUAUUAUUAUUAUUAUUAUUAUUAUUUAAGAAAACCUGGAAUCUACACUACCCGUAAAAAAUCAAAGUAAUCUCAACCGUUGGAUCAACGGUGUCAUCUACCUAUAUAUUCAUUCUUUAUCUCUUCCGAACGCCCUAUUCCUCAAGAACUAGGGUUUGCAGUCACUGCUCUGUUUCACCGAGUUUGGGCGUUUAGAUCAGAACCAAAUCGUGUUCUCUUCCAUUGGCAAACAUGGCAACUCAAAUGAGCAAGAAGAGAAAGGUCAGUGGUUCAAUGAAUCGCAAACAGCAACAUUUUCUAUUUGUGGUUUUUUCUUCUUCAUUCCUUUGUGUAUGCUAAUUGAACAUUUGAAUGGCGUUAAUGUGUAGUUUGUUGCGGACGGAGUGUUCUUUGCCGAACUGAACGAGGUUCUGACACGUGAAUUGGCGGAGGACGGUUACUCCGGCGUCGAAGUUAGGGUUACGCCGAUGCGCACCGAGAUCAUCAUCAGAGCCACCAGAACCCAAGCCGUUCUAGGUGCGUGUGUUUCUAGAACCUUCCAUUACUUUGUGGAAUCGAAUUUCCAUUCAUUCAUUCAUAAAUUGUGUGUUUUUAUGGUAUAUAUAGGUGAGAAGGGAAGGAGAAUUAGGGAACUUACCUCAGUGGUGCAGAAGAGGUUCAAAUUCCCCGAAAACAGCGUCGAGC
rnacentral:lncRNA from 1 species